GGAUUAGAUACCCUGGUAGUCCACGCAGUAAACGUUGUUCACUAGGUGUAGCGGGUAUUGACCCCUGCUGUGCCGGAGUUAACGCAUUAAGUGAACCGCCUGGGGAGUACGAUCGCAAGAUUAAAACUCAAAGGAAUUGACGGGGGCCCGCACAAGCGGUGGAGCAUGUGGUUUAAUUCGACGCAACGCGAAGAACCUUACCUGGAUUUGACAUCUCGGGAAUCCUAUCGAAAGACUGGAGUGCCCUUCGGGGAGCCCGAAGACAGGUGCUGCAUGGCUGUCGUCAGCUCGUGCCG
rnacentral:rRNA from 1 species